GACGAACGCUGGCGGCGUGCUUAACACAUGCAAGUCGAACGGAAAGGCCCUGCUUUUGUGGGGUGCUCGAGUGGCGAACGGGUGAGUAACACGUGAGUAACCUGCCCUUGACUUUGGGAUAACUUCAGGAAACUGGGGCUAAUACCGGAUAGGAGCCCCUGCUGCAUGGUGGGGGUUGGAAAGUUUCGGCGGUUGGGGAUGGACUCGCGGCUUAUCAGCUUGUUGGUGGGGUAGUGGCUUACCAAGGCUUUGACGGGUAGCCGGCCUGAGAGGGUGACCGGCCACAUUGGGACUGAGAUACGGCCCAGACUCCUACGGGAGGCAGCAGUGGGGAAUAUUGCACAAUGGGCGGAAGCCUGAUGCAGCAACGCCGCGUGCGGGAUGACGGCCUUCGGGUUGUAAACCGCUUUCGCCUGUGACGAAGCGUGAGUGACGGUAAUGGGUAAAGAGGCACCGGCUAACUACGUG
rnacentral:rRNA from 1 species